GCGCCUAACACAUGCAAGUCGCACGAGAAAGGGCUUCGGCCCCGGUACAGUGGCGCACGGGUGAGUAACACGUGGGUAAUGUUCCCUCGGGCGGGGGAUAACCCUCCGAAGGGAAGGCUAAUACCGCAUAAGACCACGGCUUCGAAAGAAGCUGAGGUAAAAGCAGGCCUCUGCAUGCAAGCUUGCACCUGAGGAUCAGCCCGCGGCCCAUCAGCUAGUUGGCAGGGUAAGAGCCUACCAAGGCUAAGACGGGUAGCUGGUCUGAGAGGAUGAUCAGCCACACUGGAACUGAGACACGGUCCAG
rnacentral:rRNA from 1 species